UGGUGGGGUAACGGCCUACCAAGCCUAAGAUCCGUACGGGCCAUGGGAGUGGGAGCCCGGAGAUGGACCCUGAGACAAGGGUCCAGGCCCUACGGGGCGCAGCAGGCGCGAAACCUCCGCAAUGCGGGAAACCGCGACGGGGUCAGCCGGAGUGCCGAUGCUUGCAUCGGCUGUCGGGGAGCCUAAAAAGCUCCCCAUAGCAAGGGCCGGGCAAGGCCGGUGGCAGCCGCCGCGGUAAUACCGGCGGCCCGAGUGGCGGUCACUAUUAUUGGGCUUAAAGCGUCCGUAGCCGGGUUGGGAAGUCCUCCGGGAAAUCUGGCCGCUUAACGGUCAGAAUGCCGGAGGAUACUCCCAGCCUAGGGAGCGGGAGAGGCCGAGGGUAUUCCCGGAGUAGGGGUGAAAUCCUAUAAUCCCGGGAGGACCACCUGUGGCGAAGGCGCUCGGCUGGAACGCGUCCGACGGUGAGGGACGAAGGCCAGGGGAGCAAACCGGAUUAGAU
rnacentral:rRNA from 1 species